AGUGAACGCUGGCGGCAUGCUUUACACAUGCAAGUCGAACGGUAACACACUUUGAGCUUGUUCCUACUGGCGGCGAGUUGCGUACUGCUUCGGAACAUAUCCGAAUCUACUUUUUCGUGGGGCGUAACGUAUGCUAAUACACCCUAUUAUCUCAUACUACCUACGGGUGACAGCACGGGAUCUUUUGACCUUGCGCGUUUGAAUGAGCCGAUGUCGGAUUAGCUAGUUGGCGGGGUAAAGGCCUACCAAGCCGACGAUCUGUAGCUGGUCUGAGAGGAUGAUCAGCCACACUGGAACUGAGACACGGUCCAGACUCCUACGGGAGGCAGCAGUGGGGAAUAUUGGACAAUGGGCGCAAGCCUGAUCCAGCCAUGCCGCGUGAGUGAAGAAGGCCUUCGGGUUGUAAAGCGCUUUUGUAGGGAAAGAAAAGGAUCAGGCUAAUACCCGGCGGUGAUGACGGUACCGAAAGAAUAAGCACCGGCUAACUACGUG
rnacentral:rRNA from 1 species